rnacentral:rRNA from 1 species
AGUGGCGAAAGGGAGAGGAUUACGUGGGAAUCUACCCUCAGACCUGGGAUAGCGGCGGGAAACUGCCGGUAAUACCAGAUAAUGUCUGCGGACCAAAGGUGUGAUUCCGUCUGGGGAUGAGCCCACGUCCUAUUAGCUAGUUGGCAGGGUAAUGGCCUACCAAGGCAAUGAUGGGUAGCGGGUGUGAGAGCAUGACCCGCCUCACUGGGACUGAGAACUGCCCAGACACCUACGGGUGGCUGCAGUCGAGAAUCUUCGGCAAUGAGCGCAACUUGACCGAGCGACGCCGCGUGCGGGAUGAAGGCCUUCGGGUUGUAAACCGCUGUCGUAGGGGAGCAAGAAAAGAGGGUUCUCUCUCUAGUUUGACAUAGCCUCAGAGGAAGGGCGGGCUAAGUUCGUGCCAGCAGCCGCGGUAAGACGAACCGCCCAAACGUUAUUCGGAAUCACUGGGCUUAAAGGGUGCGUAGGCGGCGCGACAAGUUGGGUGUGAAAUCCCUCGGCUCAACCGAGGAACUGCGCCCAAAACUGUCGUGCUCGAGGGAGAUAGAGGUAAGCGGAACUGAUGGUGGAGCGGUGAAAUGCGUUGAUAUUAUCAGGAACACCGGUGGCGAAAGCGGCUUACUGGAUCUCUUCUGACGCUGAGGCACGAAAGCUAGGGGAGCGAACGGGAUUAGAUACCCCGGUAGUCCUAGCUGUAAACGAUGAGCACUUGAUCGAAGACUCCUCCAUAGGUUUUCGGUCGUAGCGAAAGUGUUAAGUGCUCCGCCUGGGGAGUAUGGUCGCAAGGCUGAAACUCAAAGGAAUUGACGGGGGCUCACACAAGCGGUGGAGGAUGUGGCUUAAUUCGAGGCUACGCGAAGAACCUAUCCUAGUCUUGACAUGCACGGAUUAACUCCUGGAAACAGGAGCCAGCCAUCGGGUGAAACGUUGACAGGUGCUGCAUGGCUGUCGUCAGCUCGUGUCGUGAGAUGUCGGGUUAAGUCCCUUAACGAGCGAAACCCUUGUCACUAGUUGCCAGCGCGUAAUGGCGGGGACUCUAGCGAGACUGCCGGUGUUAAACCGGAGGAAGGUGGGGAUGACGUCAAGUCCUCAUGGCCUUUAUGUCCAGGGCUGCACACGUCCUACAAUGCCGCGCACAAAGGGAAGCAAACUCGCGAGAGUAAGCAAAUCCCAAAAAACGCGGCCCAGUUCGGAUUGCAGGCUGCAACUCGCCUGCAUGAAGCCGGAAUCGCUAGUAAUCGCCGGUCAGCAUACCACGGUGAAUGUGUUCCUUAGCC